GCGACGGGGUCGGCGACGUGGUCGAAGAGGUUCUCGAUGGGUCCCUUGCCGGUGACGAUGGCCUGCACGAAGAACCCGAACAUGGAGAACAUGGCGAGGCGGCCGUUCUUGAGCUCCUUCACCUUGAGCUCGGCGGCGGUGUCCGGGUCGUCGGCGAGGCCCAGCGGGUCGAAGGCGCCGCCGGGGUAGACCUUGUCGAGUCCCUCCCCGAGCGGGCCGCCGCCGACGCGGUAGCCCUCGACGAAGCCCAUGAGCACGACCUGGCAGGCCCAGAUGGCCAGGAUGCUCUGCGCGUGCACCAGGUUGGGGUUGCCCAGGUAGUCCAGCCCGCCCUCGGAGAAGAUCUGCGCGCCGGCCUUGAACCACACCGCCUCGCCGAACUUGACGCCGUUCUUGGCAAGGAUCUCCGGGAACACGCACCCCAGCGCGCCGAGCAUGGCCCACCGCGAGUGGAUCACCUCCAGCUCGCGGUUGCGCGCGAAG
rnacentral:lncRNA from 1 species